rnacentral:tRNA from 1 species
UCUGGUUUAGCAUAUAUUUAAUGCGUAGGAUUGUAAAUCCUUUUAAAAUAUAAAUAAUUAGCCAGGU